UACAUAGGGCGCAAGCGUUAUCCGGAAUUAUUGGGCGUAAAGAGCUCGUAGGCGGUUUGUCGCGUCUGCCGUGAAAGUCCGGGGCUCAACUCCGGAUCUGCGGUGGGUACGGGCAGACUAGAGUGAUGUAGGGGAGACUGGAAUUCCUGGUGUAGCGGUGAAAUGCGCAGAUAUCAGGAGGAACACCGAUGGCGAAGGCAGGUCUCUGGGCAUUAACUGACGCUGAGGAGCGAAAGCGUGGGGAGCGAACAGG
rnacentral:rRNA from 1 species